rnacentral:rRNA from 1 species
GAUGAACGCUGGCGGCGUGCCUAAUACAUGCAAGUCGAGCGAACAGACGAUGAGCUUGCUCCUCUGACGUUAGCGGCGGACGGGUGAGUAACACGUGGAUAACCUACCUAUAAGACUGGGAUAACUUCGGGAAACCGGAGCUAAUACCGGAUAAUAUAUUGAACCGCAUGGUUCAAUAGUGAAAGACGGUUUUGCUGUCACUUAUAGAUGGAUCCGCGCCGCAUUAGCUAGUUGGUAAGGUAACGGCUUACCAAGGCAACGAUGCGUAGCCGACCUGAGAGGGUGAUCGGCCACACUGGAACUGAGACACGGUCCAGACUCCUACGGGAGGCAGCAGUAGGGAAUCUUCCGCAAUGGGCGAAAGCUUGACGGAGCAACGCCGCGUGAGUGAUGAAGGUCUUCGGGUCGUAAAACUCUGUUAUUAGGGAAGAACAAAUGUGUAAGUAACUAUGCACGUCUUGACGGUACCUAAUCAGAAAGCCACGGCUAACUACGUG